rnacentral:lncRNA from 1 species
UACAAUCAUUCUUGAAACAAAACAAUAAGUAAUGAUCUAGAGCAGUGAUAAAAUACAACAAAACAAGUUUUUAUAUUCUAAUAGAAAUCAAUGCAAUAGAAAAUUUAUUUGAACCCCAAAGGUUCGAAAGUUAAGAAAAAGAAAAGUGAAAAGCUCCAGCUAAACAUUCUUCAAAUGCGAACAUCAAAUCAUGCUUGUUGCUUCAAUCUGAAACAAAGAAAAUUAAAACAUAUGAGAUGCAUAAGCUCAUUCCAACAAGAAAUCUAUCAUAAGUAACAUAUAGCAAAAAAUAAAAGUAUCGAAAAUUGAAUUUCAUCUAUAUUUGAAGAGGUCACAUAUAUCUGGAAGUUUUCAGAAGUAUUUGCUAGAGUUGCAUGAUGUUCUGACCUUCGGUGAGGUAUGCUAUGUUUUCCUUACAAAUUUACUAGGAAUGAUCUAAGCAAGAACCGUCUUGCAUAAUCCGUACCAACUAUGUUGUUCAGUGCCAGCACGACCAUGAAAAGGGGAAGUCCAUUCCUAAACCAUUUUAUUGAUACAAUGAUACUCUAUAUGCUUGUGCAUUAUAAUUCUGUAGCAUCCUCAGAACUUGACAAAUGCAAAAAGAGAUAUACUAAAUCAAAACUUACGCAGUAAUUACAUUCAGAGUUUAUUGUAUGUUGACUUUGUUAAACAGAAAUUACGGAAAGGUGGGUCGUGGAGAAAUGGCAGGUUGACAAAUUUAUAUUUCUUUACAGAGAGCUUUAUGCACAUUCACAAAGAAAAGCCAAAGAGGCCAUACAAGUAGUGUACUGACAUAAAGAUUAUUCUUUUAGAAAAGCCACCAGGCCAUACAGGCAGUGUAAUAUGCAUAUGAUGAAAUUUAACCGAUAAGUAAUUAAACUAUUAAAGUGAGCUAUCAGUUAUUUUAAGUUUUUAACAUAGCAUUGCAUAGAGAUAUGGAUCAAACAUACCUUAGUUAGCCUCAAUUUAAAGUCCUCCUACAGUCAUCACUACUAUCACCCAAGCUAAAUUCAUGUACUCACUCCAAACCUGCAACAGUAGAAGCUGCAAAACAUAAUAAAUUUAAAAGAAUAGUUUGAUUUGCUUAUAUUUAAAAUUUAAAAAAUUCAAUGCAUUAUAUUGAUAACUCUUGUAGUAAAUUAAAUAACAUAUCGUUUAUGGUUAUUUUAGAUGAUUUU